AGAGUUUGAUCCUGGCUCAGGACGAACGCUGGCGGCGCGCCUAACACAUGCAAGUCGAACGGUGAAGAGGAGCUUGCUCCUCGGAUCAGUGGCGGACGGGUGAGUAACACGUGAGCAACCUGCCUUUCAGUGGGGGACAACAGUUGGAAACGACUGCUAAUACCGCAUAACGUGCCAGAGGGGCAUCCUUUUGGUACCAAAGAUUUAUCGCUGAAAGAUGGGCUCGCGUCUGAUUAGAUAGUUGGUGAGGUAACGGCCCACCAAGUCGACGAUCAGUAGCCGGACUGAGAGGUUGAUCGGCCACAUUGGGACUGAGACACGGCCCAGACUCCUACGGGAGGCAGCAGUGGGGAAUAUUGGACAAUGGGGGAAACCCUUAUCCAGCGACGCCGCGUGAGGGAAGAAGGUUUUCGGAUUGUAAACCUCUGUCAGUGGGGACGAUAAUGACGGUACCCACGGAGGAAGCCACGGCUAACUACGUGCCAGCAGCCGCGGUAAUACGUAGGUGGCAAGCGUUGUCCGGAAUUACUGGGUGUAAAGGGAGCGUAGGCGGGAUGUCAAGUCAGAAGUGAAAAUUAUGGGCUCAACUCAUAACCUGCUUUUGAAACUGAUAUUCUUGAGUGAAGUAGAGGCAAGCGGAAUCCCUAGUGUAGCGGUGAAAUGCGUAGAUAUUAGGAAGAACACCAGUGGCGAAGGCGGAUGACUGGACGACAACUGACGGUGAGGCGCGAAAGCGUGGGGAGCAAACAGGAUUAGAUACCCUGGAAGUCCACGCUGUAAACCAUCAAUACUAGGUGUGCGGGGACUGACCCCCUGCGGGCCGGAAGUAAAACAAAAAGUAUUUGCACCUUGGGGAGUAGGAUCGCAAGGUUGAAACUCAAAGGAAUUGACGGGGGGCCCGCACAAGCGGUGGAUUAUGUGGUUUAAUUUGAAGCAACGCGAAGAACCUUACCAGGGCUUGACAUCCUGCUAACGAGGUAGAGAAAAAUCAGGUGCCCUUCGGGGAAAGCAGAGACAGGUGGUGCAUGGUUGUCGUCAGCUCGUGUCGUGAGAUGUUGGGUUAAGUCCCGCAACGAGCGCAACCCCUAUUGUUAGUUGCUACGCAAGAGCACUCUAGCGAGACUGCCGUUGACAAAACGGAGGAAGGCGGGGACGACGUCAAAUCAUCAUGCCCCUUAUGUCCUGGGCUACACACGUAAUACAAUGGCGGUCAACAGAGGGAUGCAAAUCCGCGAGGAGGAGCGAACCCCUAAAAGCCGUCCCAGUUCGGAUCGCAGGCUGCAACCCGCCUGCGUGAAGUCGGAAUCGCUAGUAAUCGCGGAUCAGCAUGCCGCGGUGAAUACGAUCCCGGGCCUUGCACUCACCGCCCGUCA
rnacentral:rRNA from 1 species